rnacentral:rRNA from 1 species
CAAUAGCGUAUAUUUAAGUUGUUGCAGUUAAAAAGCUCGUAGUUGGAUUUUGGUUAAGAGGGCGCGGUCGGCCGUUUGGUCUGUACUGCGUUGUCUUGACUUCCUGAUGAGGACAUGCUCUUGGUUAACGCUGAGACAUGGAGUCAUCGUGGUUACUUGAAAAAUUAGAGUGAUUCAAAGCAGGCUGACCGCUUGAAUACAUGAGCAUGGAAUAAUGGAAUAGGACUUUGGUUCUAUUUUGUUGGUUUCUUGAACCGAAGUAAUGAUUAAGAGGGACAGUUGGGGGCAUUCGUAUUUCGUUGUCAGAGGUGAAAUUCUUGGAUUUAUGAAAGACUAACUUCUGCGAAAGCAUUUGCCAAGGAUGUUUUCAUUAAUCAAGAACGAAAGUUAGGGGAUCGAAGAUGAUCAGAU